rnacentral:rRNA from 1 species
GUUUGACCUCAAAUCAUCAGGUAGGAGUCCCCGCUGAACUUAAGCAU